AUGCCACGUGGUGACAGUUUAGCAUCGGUUCAUGACGAACCGGUAGUGGGGGGCUUUAGUCUCCACUCUUUAGUGCCGGUUGCGGAACCGGCACUAAAGGCCCUUACGCUAAAGCCCGGUUCUGCACUAAUGGGCACCUCCGGCAGCGAGCGCAAGCUGAUUCCCAGCAUCGCGGAGGAGGGCCGCCGACGGCAGCUUCCCUUCGGUCUCCUUAAGGCAGUCAUGAACUUGCACUUCCCUGGGCUUGACAAGGGGAAGGGGCUGUACUUUCUCUUCGUCAAGUCGGAGACCAAGACGCCGGGCGGGCUGACGGCGUGGCCGAUGCUGACAAGCAUUUGCAAGAGCGAGCAGUUCAAGGACCCCUUGCGCGACCACACGAGCCCGAGGGCGGCCUUGCUCUGCGCGGACACGUCCCAGAGCAUGUACGCGCAGAUGGUGUGCGGCCUGUGCCAGCGCCGCGACGUCCUCCGCGUCGGCGCCGCGUUCGCCUCCGGCCUACCUGCCCAGUGGCGGAGCCAGAAAAAAUCGGACAAGGGGGGCCGAGUAUUGUUGAAGCUUGUUGAGGCGGGCCAAUCCAUUAAAAAACCCCAUUUUAGUAAAAAAAAUCAUUGUUACUGUUCAUAUUAG
rnacentral:rRNA from 1 species